rnacentral:misc_RNA from 1 species
AACGGUCUAUACCUGCGGUACCUGCGGAAGGAUCAUUACUGAAGUUACCUUCUAAAACCAUCAUGUGAACCUUACCCCUGCCGCGCUGUUGCCUCGGCGGGACGCCGGAGCCCCGGCUCCGGCGCCGCCGGCAGCGCCAAACUCUACCUUGAAACAGCGGAAACGCACUCUGAUUUAGAAGCGAAAACAAGUCAAAACUUUCAACAACGGAUCUCU